rnacentral:rRNA from 1 species
UACGGAGGAUGCAAGCGUUAUCCGGAAUGAUUGGGCGUAAAGCGUCCGCAGGUGGCUGUGUAAGUCUGCUGUUAAGGAGUGAGGCUCAACCUCAUAAAGGCAGUGGAAACUACAUGGCUAGAGUGCGUUCGGGGCAGAGGGAAUUCCUGGUGUAGCGGUGAAAUGCGUAGAGAUCAGGAAGAACACCGGUGGCGAAAGCGCUCUGCUAGGCCGCAACUGACACUGAGGGACGAAAGCUAGGGGAGCGAACAGG